UUAUUUUGACAGAGUUCUGAAUGUUAAACCUAGGAAGCAGAAAGGAAAUGAAGUGAGAUGCAAACUCUGUUUUGAAGGCCUGUUGGAGUCUACCAAAAAGAAGACUGCCUACCAGCGGGGGACCAAAACGAGUUCUGAUGGUCAAGGAAAGUUCAUCUAGUCACACUGCAAUCAAGAAUCUCACUUGAAUUAGAUCUGGGAUCAAUAUGGAGCUAAAAUGCAUGGUAUCAAAUGAUCAUUUUGGACUUCAUGACAGCUGACCUUUGUAUGGUGGUUGUUCCUGAAAGACUGCCUUGUUCCUACCUGUGACUGAUUUUCAGUUUUGCUGGAUUCCCAUUUUGUGGUUCAGCUCCUAACUCUCCAGAUUUAAUUUUCCAUCAUGGCCUCCUCAACCCUGAAGAUGCCUUCACCACCAAGGCCAGUAGCUGUCUCAUCCCAGAAGAUCCUUCUGUUUCUGUAGCUUUUUUAGGCUGCUUCUAUGGCCCUUUCUCCAAUUGGUCAGUUCUUCCCAGCACUUGUUUUAAGGGAGAGCCUGAGCCAAAGAUGCUGACUUCUUUGAUGCUCUUUAACCUCUGCUCCCUACUCUGCAGGCUUCUGCUUCCACCAAGCUCUGAAUAUCUUCCUUCCUCAAGCCCUUUCAGCUUCCUUCUAGGUGCUACCCCCUUUAUAUUCUCAAUUAGAACAUAAGUUCCUUGAAUGCAGGAAUUAUCUGUAUUUUUUGCUUCUACACUUUCUCCUGGUGCUUAGCAUUUAAUAAAUAUUCAUUGACUUGA